CCUUUUCUUGGCAGGGAGUAGGCAUGUGAUCCCACUCCCCAUUAUGGACAGAGGCAGAGGGGAAGGGCUCCAGCCCCCUCAGGGUUGUGUUGUCAGUGCUGGUGGCUUCCCGUCCGCCGGUUCUAUCGUCACGUGCCAGGACCCUG
rnacentral:snoRNA from 1 species